CAAUAGCGUAUAUUAAAGUUGUUGCAGUUAAAAAGCUCGUAGUUGGAUUUGUGGCGUACGGUGUGUUCCGGGCACUUGUUGUCUGAGUAACCUGCUGUUGCCAUCCUUGGGUGGAACCUGUGUGGCAUUAGGUUGUCGUGCAGGGGAUGCCCAUCAUUUACUGUGAAAAAAUUAGAGUGUUCAAAGCAGGCUUAUGCCGUUGAAUAUAUUAGCAUGGAAUAAUGAGAUAGGACUUUUUUGCUAUUUUGUUGGUUUGCGCAAGAAGGUAAUGAUUAAUAGGGACAGUUGGGGGUAUUCGUAUUCCAUUGUCAGAGGUGAAAUUCUUGGAUUUUUGGAAGACGAACUACUGCGAAAGCAUUUACCAAGGAUGUUUCCAUUAA
rnacentral:rRNA from 1 species